UACAGGGGGGGCAAGCGUUGUUCGGAAUUACUGGGCGUAAAGGGCUCGUAGGCGGCCAAUUAAGUCCGACGUGAAAUCCCCAGGCUUAACCUGGGAACUGCGUCGGAUACUGAUUGGCUUGAAUCCGGGAGAGGGAUGCGGAAUUCCAGGUGUAGCGGUGAAAUGCGUAGAUAUCUGGAGGAACACCGGUGGCGAAGGCGGCAUCCUGGACCGGCAUUGACGCUGAACAGCGAAAGCCCAGGGGGAGCAAAACGGG
rnacentral:rRNA from 1 species